rnacentral:rRNA from 1 species
UAGGGAAUAUUGGGCAAUGGGCGCAAGCCUGACCCAGCAACGCCGCGUGAGGGAAGAAGGUUUUCGGAUUGUAAACCUCUGUCCUAUGUGACGAAGGAAGUGACGGUAGCAUAGGAGGAAGCCCCGGCUAACUACGUGCCAGCAGCCGCGGUAAUACGUAAGGUGCGAGCGUUGUUCGGAAUCAUUGGGCGUAAAGGGCAUGUAGGCGGUCUGUCAAGCCAGGCGUGAAAGCCAGGGGCUCAACCCCUGAACUGCGCUUGGAACUGGCGGACUGGAGUCGCUGAGGGGGAACCGGAAUUCCUGGUGUAGGGGUGAAAUCUGUAGAUAUCAGGAAGAACACCGAUGGCGAAGGCAGGUUUCCAGCAGACGACUGACGCUGAGGUGCGAAGGUGCGGGGAGCAAACAGGAUUAGAUACCCUGGUAGU